rnacentral:rRNA from 1 species
UAGGGAAUCAUCGGCAAUGGACGGAAGUCUGACCGAGCAACGCCGCGUGAGUGAAGAAGGUUUUCGGAUCGUAAAGCUCUGUUGUUAGAGAAGAACGCUGGUAGGAGAGGAAAAUCUACCAAGUGACGGUAACUAACCAGAAAGGGACGGCUAACUACGUGCCAGCAGCCGUGGUAAUACGUAGGUCCCGAGCGUUGUCCGGAUUUAUUGGGCGUAAAGCGAGCGCAGGCGGUUCUUUAAGUCUGCAGUUAAAGGCAGUGGCUUAACCAUUGUACGCUUUGGAAGCUGGAUGACUUAAGUGCAGAAGGGGAGCGUAGAAUUCCAUGUGUAGCGGUAAAAUGCGUAGAUAUGUGGAGGAACACCGGUGGCGAAAGCGGCUCUCUGGUCUGUAUCUGCCGCUGAGGCUCGAACGCGUGGGGAGCAAACAGG